rnacentral:rRNA from 1 species
AGUGAACGCUGGCGGUAGGCCUAACACAUGCAAGUCGAACGGCAGCACAGUAAGAGCUUGCUCUUACGGGUGGCGAGUGGCGGACGGGUGAGGAAUACAUCGGAAUCUACUUUUUCGUGGGGGAUAACGUAGGGAAACUUACGCUAAUACCGCAUACGACCUACGGGUGAAAGCAGGGGAUCUUCUGACCUUGCGCGAUUGAAUGAGCCGAUGUCGGAUUAGCUAGUUGGAGGGGUAAAGGCCCACCAGGGCGAGGAUCCGUAGCUGGUCUGAGAGGAUGUUCAGCCACACUGGAGCGUGGACACGGUCCAGAGUCCUACGGGAGGGAGCAGUGGGGAAUAUUGGACAAUGGGCGCAAGCCUGAUCCAGCCAUACCGCGUGGGUGAAGAAGGCCUUCGGGUUGUAAAGCCCUUUUGUUGGGAAAGAAAAGCAGCAGGUUAAUACCCCGCUGUUCUGACGGUACCCAAAGAAUAAGCACCGGCUAACUUCGUG